GGGGGUUAAUCCUCUGUCGGGGAAACGGAGCGGUUAAACUCUCUGCCAGGGAAUUCAGCUGAAUUUAAAUCACCAGUCGGAGGUCAUUUAUAAGAAUCACAAAGAAUAAGGGUCCCUGAACAGAUCCCUGAAGCACUCCACUGGUGACCAACCUCCAUGCAAAAUAUGACCUGUCUGCAACCGCUCUUUGUCUUUGAUGGGCAAGCCAAUUCUGGAUCCACAAACCAAGAUCCCCUUGGAUCCCAUGGUAAAAGAAGAUGGUGGCUGCCCAUAAGAAGAUGAAUCUCAAGGCUGUUUAUGAGAAAAAGCACGGUAACAGGCCCUUUGAUCCAAGGGACCCCCAAAGCCCAAUUAGCCCAUAUGUCUUUGUAAUGUGGGAGGAAACUGGAGCAGCCGGAGGAAACCCACAGGGUCACAGGGAGAACGAAGAAAUUCCUCACAGGAAUUGAGCCCAGGUUUCUGGUGCUGUUAUGCUAACAACUAUGCUAAUGUACAAGCCUGAAUAAUUAUAUAAAAAUUAAAUUCUAUUAUGUAUUACAAAAACAUAUUUUUCAGAAUGAUAGGCCAAAUUGUGGAAUUAAAUUUUUUAAGUACCCAGAAAAAUUGUAGAAUGCCAUAUCAUUAAAAUUUACAUAGAAGGCUUCUAUUAAUUAAUUUUAAAAUGAUAAAUUACUUUCUGCUCUGUGAGAAAUGUUUAAAAAUACUUUAGGACUAAUAAUGCAUUUUUUCAUUGCGUAGUUGGUGUUAAAAUGCAAGAAACUGCUGAUUUAACAUAACCGAUAUCUAUAAGCAGCAAUGAUAUAAUUUAACUUAAAUAAUUCCAGCCUGCUGGCAAGAUGGUGGUGCCUAUACAUGCAGCAGCCUAUCGGGGGCCAACCAAAGGUCCUACUUUCUUAUGUAACUCCCAGGUUUGGUGGGCUAUGUUAGUCUAGGGAAAGACACUUUCAGUCCCGGCAAAUUUUUGAAAUCUCGUUUGUGUGGAUGCUGCGUGAUGUUUUCCCCGUACCACAAUCAGUAGCAGAAAAUAACAAACAGUACACCACAUGAUCUAGCUUUAUGAUUCUUAAUUUGCCUAGAGGGUUAGUAAAGAAAACAAAAAGAAAUGGGCCCAUUUUAAUGAAACAGUAAAAUGUACAUGUUGGA